ACAGGGAUUGCCCUAGUAACGGCGAGUGAAGCGGCAACAGCUCAAAUUUGAAAUCUGGCGUCUUUGGCGUCCGAGUUGUAAUUUGCAGAGGGCGCUUUGGCAUUGGCAGCGGUCCAAGUUCCUUGGAACAGGACGUCACAGAGGGUGAGAAUCCCGUACGUGGUCGCUAGCCUUUACCGUGUAAAGCCCCUUCGACGAGUCGAGUUGUUUGGGAAUGCAGCUCUAAAUGGGAGGUAAAUUUCUUCUAAAGCUAAAUACUGGCCAGAGACCGAUAGCGCACAAGUAGAGUGAUCGAAAGAUGAAAAGCACUUUGGAAAGAGAGUUAAAAAGCACGUGAAAUUGUUGAAAGGGAAGCGCUUGCAGCCAGACUUGCCUGUAGUUGCUCAUCCGGGUUUUUACCCGGUGCACUCUUCUAUAGGCAGGCCAGCAUCAGUUUGGGCGGUUGGAUAAAGGUCUCUGUCAUGUACCUCUCUUCGGGGAGAACUUAUAGGGGAGACGACAUGCAACCAGCCUGGACUGAGGUCCGCGCAUCUGCUAGGAUGCUGGCGUAAUGGCUGUAAGCGGCCCGUCUUGAAACACGGACCAAGGAGUCUAACAUCUAUGCGAGUGUYUGGGUGUCAAGCCCGAGCGYGUAAUGAAAGUGAACGGAGGUGGGAACCCCUCGGGGUGCACCAUCGACCGAUCCUGAUGUCUUYGGAUGGAUUUGAGUAAGAGCAUAGCUGUUGGGACCCGAAAGAUGGUGAACUAUGCUUGAAUAGGGUGAAGCCAGAGGAAACUCUGGUGGAGGCUCGCAGCGGUUCUGACGUGCAAAUCGAUCGUCAAAUUUGGGCAUAGGGGCG
rnacentral:rRNA from 1 species